UUAAUGAAAAAAUGGUUUGCAAAUGUUUGAAAUAAGAACAUCUUGACAUCUAUUUUUGUUACCUUAUAAUCUUCAGAUAUUCAGGACUUGAGGGAAAAACAGCAAUUUGUCUUGAAAUCUAAAUUUAAAGCAGUGAAAGAUAAUAUUUUAAAUAGCUAUGGCAGUAAACUAGGACUUAGAAUAUCUGUUCUGUGGCUGGUAAAUGAUAUGGAGCGAGUCAUUUCCUCUCUUCAUUAUGCCUGCUUUUAAAAUAGAGCUCUGUAAUGAAAUGUGACAGUACUGUUAAGUGAGGUUUGUAUUGCUGGUUUGAGGUGUGAAUUAAUUCUAGGGAUUACAUAACGUGUUAUUUUGACUGUCAUACUGAACCUAAAGAACUCCGAUGCAGCUUUCAAACCCAUUUGGUUGUGAGGGCAUGGCUUUCAAAAUUCUGUCUUCCUCAUAGCCAUGUACAAGUACGUGUCUUGCUUUCAAAAUAAAAAGUAGUCGUGGUCCUUUACUUGCUUAGAUAUUAAAUUAUGAAAGAGUAGUGGGAAAUUCAUCAAGAAGCAUAUGAAGUUCUACAAAAUUAGUCACAUUCUUUCUCAUUGCUGCUAUCUUUGUGCAGCUUUUCUUCUUGGUUUUCCUGAUAGCCUGCUUUUUAUUUGAUGGGGUCGGGGUUGUGUGAGGAUUUGUUUGAUUUUGUUUUGGAUGUAUUAUAUGACAAUAGAAGGGAAUCAUUCUUACGAUCUGGAAUCUUGAAAUAAAAAUUCUGUACUUUCUGCAGAAACCACUACCAAAGAUGAGGCAGCAUGUUUUACCUCAGUUAAGUCAUUACACUAAGCCUUGUUUUGCAACUGAUUUGAGAUUGCUAAGAUUUUCUCCAUCUCCCAUUUUUUGCCACUGCCUUAGGCAUGACAUUGAUUUCCUCUGUGCUUCAGUUUUCCUGUUGUGGAGAAUAAUACAUUGUGUAAAGCAAACCAAGCAAAAUAUAAAUCUUGAAUGGAUGUGAAAGCUGGAUAAACAGAGGCUAAAAGCAUGAUUCUGACUUGGGAUAAACAGGACAAGAUAGAAGAGAGAUUUGGAGGCUGGCCCAGGGACUCUUUCAUUUAUUUGUCGAGGUAAUGGAAAAUGGAACAGAAAAGAAAGCAUAUCUUUGUGUGUCAGGAAUGAAAAAAGACUUUAACAGCUAAUCUUCAUUGUCAGUUAAAUGGUAUUUUCCUUAGCAGUUGCACAUGAUGCAUUUUAUUGUUAAAUAAACAGACAAGUAUUUCAAGUAUCAAAUAGUUUUAUUACACAGGCAAUCUCAAAUAGUAGUUGUCAGUUCUUUACUGUCGAUCAGAAAUUUGAGCAUUUUUCUUAACAGUCUGAUAGGCUGUUUUUCCUUGUAGUACGUAGGUAAAUGAAGUUGAUAAUUCAUAAUGUUGCUUUCAAUAUGGUAUUCCUCUCAUCUGUUUUGUGGGGGUUUUUUGUUUUUUUUGUUUUUAAUGUGGAUAUUGCAGGCUCUUUGAGGCUAUAAUACUGCACUCUGCCCAUUUCAUAUGUAUUUAUAUAUUGUCUAAUGCUAUUGAAUCUGGGUCCAUAGUUAGACAUCAGUGUUCUUUCGGUGUAAAUAAUAGCC